rnacentral:pre_miRNA from 1 species
GUAGCAGAAGAUCCUCGACAGUUAACUGCAGCCGGUUUCUCCAAAAUUCGGCAGUUAACUCUCGAGGAGUAU